CGGUCGAGUGGCACGCGGUGGGACGCGCGCCGAGAAUGGACCCGUCGACCCGCCGUCACUGACGUGAACCGCCGCUGUGGCCCCGGCAGCGUGCAGGUU
ncrna:Sagittula stellata E-37 Rhodo-rpoB RNA